GGCCCGGAGAGCGCGCCGGGAGAGGGGUUGCAGCCCGUGCGAGUUUGGCUCCAGUGGCCAAAGCAGGGAAGGCGGCCUCGGGGACCUUCUGGGAGCAGAGUCCAGCCAAGGGUUUCCCUCUCUUUCCGCUUCAAGCCCAAGACAGCAGAGCAGUUUGGAACCCGAAGGACUAUAUGGUCCUUUCCCCCUCCCCCACCACUUUUUUCCCCCCUAGAAGAACUUCAAGAUUACAAAUAUCCGUCUCAUUUGAUGCUGAAUUACUCGUGGACAGAUAAGAAAAGGUAAGUAAAAAGAAAAGGAAAAGUUGGCCUCCAGAAUUUUUUUUUUUGGGAGGGGGUGAAGUUAAAUCUCAGUUUAUCCUCCUAGGGUAAAAGAGAGGGAAAGAGAGAGAGGGAGGUGAGACACACACAGAGACAGACACAGAAAGGAGAGACACAGAAUAUGAGAGAAUAUUUGGCCUGGCUGAAGACCGUUUUCUGCUUCACAGAGUUGUGAAUGAUACUGGAUCCAAGUUGUCGGCCCAGCACUGUUGGCAGAGUUUACAUUCAGUUUUGAUUCCUCUAAUUGUUCUUAAUUUCAACAUUGGCUAUUUAGUAUCGCCAGUAAGAUUUUUGCUCUUUUUAAAUCCUGGUUAAAUAAACGCCAGUUAGGAAGUUUCUUUUUCAAAGGAACACGGGUUUCCGAGAUAAACGCUUCUUUUGUAAAGAACAACUUCGUGAGAAACCUCUGCAUCUUCCUGUAAGCAUGCUUAGCUCUUUUUUUCCACAGCGGUUCGCAGCCCCCACCCCCACCCCAACCCCAGCUUGUUGAUAUUGUAAAGCGAUUUAAUUUCCCGGUAACCUUUAUUUAGUAAAACUUCUUUAGCAUUAAGAAAAAACAGCAUUAAUAAAGUUUCUCCCUGAGUUAAAAACAAAAA
rnacentral:lncRNA from 1 species